GAGGGCAUAGCUCAGUGGUAGAGCACAUGCUUAGCAUGCAUGAGGUCCUGGGUUCAAUCCCCAGUGCCUCCA
rnacentral:tRNA from 1 species